AUGGACGAGUUCGAGAGCGGCGAUAAGGGAAUCGCCGGGCCCGCCCCGGGCCCCGGCGCUGGCGACGACGGCAACUCUGCGCCGCUCCCUGAGACGGUGCAAAUUGGAAAUUCACCAACCUAUAAGCUUGGAAGGAAGCUUGGAAAGGGUGGAUUUGGACAAGUAUAUGUUGGUCGACGUGUUUCCUCUCCCAGUCUUGGUGAUAGAAACCCUGGUGCAAAUGCUUUGGAGGUUGCAUUAAAGUUUGAACAUCGAACUAGCAAAGGUUGCAAUUAUGGAGCUCCAUCUGAGUGGCAGGUUUACAACACUCUUAGUGGAAAUCAUGGUGUCCCACGGGUACACUACAAAGGAAAGCAGGGCGAGUUUUACAUCAUGGUUAUGGAUAUGUUGGGACCAAGCCUGUGGGAUGUUUGGAAUAAUAAUUCCCAUUCGAUGUCUGUUGAAAUGGUUGCCUGCAUAGCUAUAGAAGCCAUCUCCAUACUGGAAAAGAUGCACUCAAAAGGGUAUGUCCAUGGUGAUGUGAAACCUGAGAACUUUCUGCUUGGUCCGUGUGGUACCCUGGAAGAGAAGAAACUUUUUCUUGUUGAUCUUGGACUGGCUACGAAAUGGAAGGGUGCUGGUAACGGGCACAUUGAAUACGACCAGAGGCCUGAUGUAUUUAGGGGAACUGUUCGUUAUGCUAGUGUGCAUGCUCACUUGGGAAGAACUGGAAGUAGGAGAGAUGACCUUGAAUCCCUCGCCUACACACUUAUUUUUCUUCUCCGUGGACGCCUACCUUGGCAAGGAUACCAGGGAGACAACAAAGGUUUUCUUGUCAGCAAGAAAAAGAUGGCGACCUCUCCUGAAUCUCUGUGUGGCAUUUGUCCACAGUCUUUUCGACACUUUGUUGAGUAUGUUGUGAACUUGAAGUUUGACGAAGAACCUAAUUACGCCAAGUGCAUCUCUCUUUUUGACGGCAUUGUUGGUCCACAUCCAGACACCAGACCAAUAAACACAGAUGGUGCUCAGAAGCUAAUAUAUCAGGUCGGUCAGAAGCGGGGCCGCCUCAUAGCAGAGGAAGAUGAUGAGCAACCUAAGAAGAAGAUUAGAAUGGGAAUGCCAGCGACUCAGUGGAUUAGUGUCUACAGUGCCCGGCGGCCUAUGAAACAGAGGUACCACUAUAAUGUUGCAGAUGAUAGAUUAGUACAACAUAUUCUGAAAGGAAAUGAAGAUGGCUUGUUUAUAAGUUCAGUUUCCUCUUCCGCAAAUCUGUGGGCUUUAAUAAUGGAUGCUGGCACUGGUUUUACUGCUCAAGUAUAUGAAAUUUCUCAACAUUUCCUUCACAAGGAAUGGAUCCUGGAGCAGUGGGAGAGAAAUUACUAUAUCACUGCAUUGGCUGGUGCGAAUAGUGGAAGUUCUUUAGUGAUCAUGUCAAGAGGAACAACGUAUGCACAACAAUCCUAUAAAGUAAGUGAUGCAUUUCCAUUCAAAUGGAUAAACAAAAAGUGGAAGGAGGGCUUCUAUGUCACAUCCAUGGCUACAGCUGGAAGUCGAUGGGCAGUUGUCAUGUCCCGAAAUGCUGGUUUCUCAGACCAGGUAGUGGAGCUGGAUUUCUUAUAUCCAAGUGAGGGCAUCCAUCAACGCUGGGAUAAUGGUUAUCGCAUCACUGCAACAGCUGCCACAUUGGACCAGGCGGCAUUUAUCUUGAGCAUACCUAGACGAAAACCUAAUGAUGAAACACAGGAGACGCUAAGAACAUCUGCUUUCCCGAGCCAGCAUGUGAAGGAAAAAUGGUCAAAAAAUCUGUACUUAGCAUCCAUCUGCUAUGGAAGGGCGGCAUCUUGA
rnacentral:rRNA from 1 species